UAUAAAUUUACGGAUCAUCUCCCGUGCGCCUUUUCGUUUUAUUUAGUCGUCUCUCUCUCUCUUCUGUUUGCGUGCUCCGACGAAAGUGAUCGAGAUUUGCGCGAAGGUGAGGAGGUCGAUAGGGUUUCGCCUUCCCGUACGAUCUCCCUUUCUCUUCACUGUUCUGGGUAGAAUCCAUGUCGAGGAAGCGGAAAUCGGACGCCUCGGGCCUCGACGAGGCGGAUCGCACGUUGUACUCCACUUUCUGCGGUGCCGCCAAUUCGCUGUCGCAGCUCUACACGCAGGCCAUGAACCAGCAGAAGGUCUCCUUCCAGGCCGGAGAGCGCCAUGCCCUGGACAAGCUUUAUCAAUGGGUCAUGAGAAAGCAUGAAGAAGGGUCAAGGAUUACAGUAGCUGAUAUAGUUUGCCAUAUUCAGACUGAGAUGGACCAUGUUGCAGAAGAUGGAUUAACAGCAGCCCCAAGAGCACCAUUCCAAAAUCAACAACCGCCGCCGUCAACACAUCCAAUAAACUCAACCUUCCAAGCUCCAUCUGGUUUGUUUGGCCAGCCAAUCCCUCGAAGUGGCCACACUGAUCAAGCAAAAAACUCCGUCUUCUCAAAUGCUCUUUCUAGCCCUGUGCGCAGGAGCCUUCAGCCGUAUCACCUUGCUAAUGAUGGGAGUGGAUUUUACACAAAUGAUGCCCCACCUACUGGAAACGCAGCAAGCAGGAACCAUGAUUCAGAUCAAAACCGGGACACCAGUUCUCUCAGUUGCAACGACACAUCCAUGGAUAUUCAUACAGAUAGCCCGCCACAUCAAUCCUAUUCUUAGUUCUGCAAACCAUCACAGAAUCAUGCAAGAGUGAAGAUGAUGAAUACUGCAAGCCAUAUUUUGGAUGUGCCUGUUCCCUUUGCAAGGUGUCAUAGGUCUGCUCCUGGUGCAAGCUGGCACGGUGCGCAUCGAGCUGGAGAACCCUCAGCAUCAUGUUUCUUUUAACUAGCAGAAGAGAGAGAGAGAUGAGGAGGAUUGGGUUUGAGUUUUUUACUUCUUCAAUGUCGAGUUGCCUGAUCCGAUGGAGGGAGCCAAAAGCAUAGGGUCGGUGGCGGAGGCAGCAACGACAGAAAAGAUCGAGGUUUCCCAGGAUGUGUGUUCUGGUAAAUAUAUACUUCUCAAUUACUUUCGUGGAUUUUUUUUUUUGUUAUCUUCAUCAUAGGCCUAACUUACACACCUGCAUAAAUUUACGGUUUAUCAUAUAUUUAAGCCAAACCCUGAUUGUGUUG